rnacentral:rRNA from 1 species
GACGAACGCUGGCGGCGUGCCUAAUACAUGCAAGUUGAGCGCUGAAGCUUGGUACUUGUACCAACUAGAUGAGCGGCGAACGGGUGAGUAACGCGUGGGUAAUCUGCCUUUGAGCGGGGGACAACAUUUGGAAACGAAUGCUAAUACCGCAUAAUAUCUUUAAACACAAGUUUUAAGUUUGAAAGAUGCUAUUGCAUCACCCAAAGAUUAUCCCGCGUUGGAAUAAGUAGUUGGUGAAGUAAAGGCCCACCCAAGCGAAGAUACCGAGGCGGACUGAGAAGGUGGUCCGCCAAAACGGGACUGAGAACCGGGCCAAACCCCUUCGGGAAGGAGCAGUAGGGAAACUUCGGCAAUGGACGAAAGUCUGGCCGGGCAAAGCCGCCGGGGGGAAGGAGGGUUUCGGAUCGUAAAAAUCUGGUGAUAGGGAAGAACGUAGGGGGUAGUGAAAAGUUCAUCUAGUGACGGUACCUACUCAGAAAGGCACGGCUAACUACGUG